rnacentral:tRNA from 1 species
GCCCACGUGGUGAAAUUGGUAGACACGCCAGCUUGAGGGGCUGGUGGCCUAAACAGCCGUAGCAGUUCGAGUCUGCUCGUGGGCACCA